AUUGAACGCUGGCGGCAUGCCUUACACAUGCAAGUCGAACGGUAACGGGCCUUCGGGUGCCGACGAGUGGCGAACGGGUGAGUAAUACAUCGGAACGUGCCCGAUCGUGGGGGAUAACGAGGCGAAAGCUUUGCUAAUACCGCAUACGAUCUACGGAUGAAAGCAGGGGACCGCAAGGCCUUGCGCGGACGGAGCGGCCGAUGGCAGAUUAGGUAGUUGGUGGGAUAAAAGCUUACCAAGCCGACGAUCUGUAGCUGGUCUGAGGGGAUGAUCAGCCACACUGGGACUGAGGCACGGCCCAGACUCCUACGGGAGGCAGCAGUGGGGAAUUUUGGACAAUGGGCGCAAGCCUGAUCCAGCCAUGCCGCGUGCAGGAUGAAGGCCUUCGGGUUGUAAACUGCUUUUGUACGGAACGAAAAGCCUUCUUUUAAUACAGGAGGGUCAUGACGGUACCGUAAGAAUAAGCACCGGCUAACUACGUG
rnacentral:rRNA from 1 species